rnacentral:snRNA from 1 species
AUCGCUUCUCGGCCUUUUGGCUAAGAUCAAGUGUAGUAUCUGUUCUUAUCAGUUUAAUAUCUGAUACGUCCCCUACCCGGGGACCAUAUAUUAAAUAGAUUUUUGGAACAGGGAGAUGGAAUAGGGACUUGCUCCGUCCACUCCACGCAUCGACCUGGUAUUGCAGUAUCUCCAGGAACGGUGCACUCCCU